CCCGAAAGUUACAACAAAAGUCUUCAAAAAUGCUAACUCGUUUGGAGCAUCGCACGACAAUAUUUUGAUUCAGUCAUUUAAUUGGGAUAACUGGCAUUCGGGAGGCAUUGAAUAUUUGGCUAAUGUAAUGGAUCAAGACAGUGGUAACGACGACCUUAUUGAAAACUUAACAUCGACCAGAGCACUAACCGUUGGUUCCAGCUAUGAAAAUUCUACUGAACAUGUGAUAUCAUUUACCAAUUUUGUGAGUUUAGAUCUCGGUGUAAGGAUAUGGUGUCAAAAUGGAUACUUUGGCUCUGACUGUAGUCAUAAAUGUACCAACAACUCUAAGGCUUAUAGCGUUUGUACGAAUAAUCAAGCAACGCUCUUACCAUCGUGCAAUGACG
rnacentral:lncRNA from 1 species